AGUAAAUGAAUGAUGUUGGAGCUGUAAUGUAACGUUAUGUACUGGUAUAGCGGUGACUACAGAAGAGGGAUUACUGUGAAUUCAUCAACACCAUACAGUACUUGCAGUGUGAAACCUGAUACCUGCAAGGUUUUCCCGCAAACUUAUCCGGAAAGAAAUGUCUCAACACAAACAAAAAAGUUUGACCAGGCACAGAGAGAAAAAAGUAUGUGACAUCUUUGCUUGUUGGAAGAUCUCGCCUUUGGGACUUUCAGCCACAGUACAGUGCCAUCUACUGGAAUAUAACUGUCCUACACCUAAAAAAAACAUCGGCAGCAGUGACGAGACAGAGAAAAAGAACUGUAAUUUUGAAUUGAAAACCACUUGGCACACCUAACCUGGCAUCAGCAGCAAUCCUCAAGAGUGGGGAGGAUCUACAGAGUGUCAGACAAAAGAUGAGUAAUAAUAAAACAUCCAGCCUGAAAGCCACUGAUGAGACUCUCUCCUUUCUCUCCUUCUUCCUCCAUCUGGACAGCAGCUCAAGUAUUCAUCUGUCAUAUCAAACCUCUUUUGCUUUAGUCCUUCUAGCAUCUUAGCAUUUUCACUUCCUUUGUGUCAGUGAUGGAAAAGUUUAUCCUUUCAGGCUAAAAUAUCUGACAAUUCAUGCAUUGUCAGGACGCUCGGUUUAGAUUUAUCCUGUAUAAUCAGAGAGCACUUCUUACAAAAGAUUGAUCAGACUGCCUGAUACAACAAUGGAAUGAUGUACCACAAAAUCCAGCAUGCGUAUAAAUAGGUAG